rnacentral:rRNA from 1 species
CGCAGGAAAAGAAACUAACCAGGAUUCCCUCAGUAGCGGCGAGCGAAGCGGGAGAAGCCCAACAUGAAAAGUCUUUCGAGGCUGUGUAGUGAGAGAACGUCCCAGAGGUGUCAAUUCAAGUAAGUGUGUAUGAAAAUGCCCGCCGCGGAGGGUUAAAGCCCCGUCCAGCUUGAAUAUGUAGCUUCGUACCGGGAUCGUUUCUUAAGAGUCGGGUAGCUUGAGAAUGCUGCCCUAAGAUAGGUGAUAAAUUUCAUCUAAGGCUAAAUACUGGUGAGAGACCGAUAGCGAACAAGUACCGUGAGGGAAAGUUUAAAAGCACUUUGGAAAGAGGGUGAAAAGAACCUGAAACCGUUACGAAGGAAGCGAGCUGCGUUGUCAGGGUGCAUUGUCUAGUGGUUUUCAGCUAAUUUAUUUUGGUGUAUUGAUCGCUAUUGACGCUGCCGUCGUGGGUUGUCAUUCACUUGGCGACUAUAGGAGUACCCUGCGGGGGACGACGGAGGACUGACGCGGCACGACCCGUCUUGAAACACGGACCAAGGAGUCUAGCAUGGCUGCGAGUCGUAGGGUAUUGAAACCUGAAGGCGCAGUGAAAGCGAAUUGUUUUUAUUGAAAGCAAGGAGUUUGUGGCGGCAUGUGAUUGUUAAUUGCAAGUCUGACCUGGAGCAGUUAUGAUAGGACCCGAAAGAUGGUGAACUAUGCUGGCGUAGGGUGAAGCCAGAGGAAACUCUGGUGGAAGCUCGAAGCGGUGCUGACGUGCAAAUCGUUCGUAAAACGUGAGUAUAGGGGCGAAAGACUAAUCGAACCAUCUAGUAGCUGGUUUCUUCCGAAGUUUCUCUCAGGAUAGCAUGUCACAGGGUGUUGCUAUGUGCCGUAAAGCCAAUGAUUAGCGUAUUUGAGGUCCUUCGGGCUUCUGGCGAUUCUCAAACUUUAAACGCGCACGGGUGUCGUGGCUUGGAUGCACUUCACUAUUUAGAACUGUGACUUUGUGGGCCAAUUUUGGUAAGCAGAACUGGCGAUACGGGAUGAACCGUAAGUAUGGUUAAGGCGCCAAACUAUUUGCUUAAAGAUCCCAAAAAAGGUGUUGAUUCAUAUAGACAGCAGGACGGUGGCCAUGGAAGUCGGAAUCCGCUAAGGAGUGUGUAACAACUCACCUGCCGAAUGAAUUAGCCCUGAAAAUGGAUGGCGCUGAAGCAAGUGGCCGACACCAUACCGUUUGUAAAAGAGCUAAUACAAAUGAGUAGGAAGAACGUGGUGGCUGUAUCGAAGCAUGCAGGCAACUGUGUGUGGAACGGUCACUAGUGCAGAUCUUGGUGCUAGUAGCAAGUAUUCAAAUGAGAACCUUGAAGGGCGAAGCGGGGAAGGGUUCCACGCGAACAUUGAUUGAGCGUGGGGGAGUCGUACCUAAGCUAACUGGCAAUUGUAUGAAAAUGGCGAAAGGGAAGCAGGUUGAUAUUCCUGCACUCGGAUGUAGACGCGGUGACGCAUGUUUUGUGGCGAUGACGCUGUUAGAGACACUGGGCAGAGAUUUCUUUUCUGUUUAACCGUAAUUUGUGUUCUGUGGAAUCUGCUCGUCAGGAGAAACAGGCACAUCUGGGCAGAGCCCCGAGCUUUUUUUGGGGUCCAGUAUGUCUUUAGCGGUCCUUGAAAAGUCGUUCACAGGGUAGGAAUUUAUUCUUAUCAAAAAGACAAUCUACGCCGGGACGUACCGAUAUCCGCAUCAGGUCCCCAAGGUGAACAGCCUCUGUCCGAUAUGAAAAAUGCAGGUAAGGGAAGUCGGCAAAUUAGACCCGUAACUUUGGGAAAAGGGUUGGCUCUGAUGCUACGUGGAAUAUGGGGUUCAGUUUGGUGUGCUGGGAGUUUUGGUUGGUCUGCGCUCGGGGAGCAAUUCUCAGUGUGGGCUGGCUGGGGCGACUGGUAUUGCUGGCUGUUCUCUGUCUCUGCAGAAUGUGGCGAAUUAGAACUGUAACGGUCAAAGGGAAUCCGACUGUUUAAUUAAAACAAAGCAUUGUGAAGCUAUGGCUAGUGUUUACGCAAU